GAUGAACGCUGGCGGCGUGCCUAAUACAUGCAAGUCGAGCGAACGGACGAGAAGCUUGCUUCUCUGAUGUUAGCGGCGGACGGGUGAGUAACACGUGGAUAACCUACCUAUAAGACUGGGAUAACUUCGGGAAACCGGAGCUAAUACCGGAUAAUAUUUUGAACCGCAUGGUUCAAAAGUGAAAGACGGUCUUGCUGUCACUUAUAGAUGGAUCCGCGCUGCAUUAGCUAGUUGGUAAGGUAACGGCUUACCAAGGCAACGAUGCAUAGCCGACCUGAGAGGGUGAUCGGCCCCACUGGAACUGAGACCCGGUCCAGACUCCUACGGGAGGCAGCAGUAGGGAAUCUCGCGCAAUGGGCGAAAGCCUGACGGAGCAACGCCGCGUGAGUGAUGAAGGUCUUCGGAUCUUAAAACUCUGUUAUUAGGGAAGAACAUAUGUGUAAGUAACUGUGCACAUCUUGACGGUACCUAAUCAGAAAGCCACGGCUAACUACGUG
rnacentral:rRNA from 1 species